ensembl:misc_RNA 7SK 7SK RNA
GGAUGUCAGGGUGAUCUGGCUGCGACAUCUGUCACCCCAUUGAUUGCCAGGGUUCAUUCGGCUGAUCUGGCUGGCUAGGCAGGAGUCCCCUUCCUCCCUCACCGCUCCAUGUGCGUCCCAAAGCUGCACGCUCGGUCGAAGAGGACGACCAUCCCUGAUAGAGGAGGACCGUUCUUCUGUCAAGGGUAUACGAGUAGCUGCACUCCCCUGCUAGAACCUCUAAAAUGGGUGGAAAAGAAUCUAGAAGUGACUAGAGAUAAGAUUGGAAAGAUAAAAUGGCAGCUGGUCUUAAGGUAUUUGGACUUGCUUAUAUGAACAGCAAGAGCCA